GGAUGUGAGGGUGAUCUGGCUGUGACAUCUGUCACCCCACUGAUCAUCAGGGUUGAUUUGGCUGGUCUGGCUGGCUAGGUGGGUGUCCCCUUCCUCCCUCAUCACUUCAUGUGUGUCCCUCCUAAAGCUGUGAGCUCAGUCAAAGAGGACGACUAUCCCAGAUAGAGGAGGACUGUUCUUUGGUCAAGGGUAUACGAGUAGCUGCACUGCCUUGCUAGAACCUUCAAACAAGCCAAAUAACCAGGAAUAUAUAAAGAGAUAGCCACAAAGAGCCACAAAGAUCCUAACUUUCAGUAGUUCUUA
rnacentral:snRNA from 1 species